AAUCUAACUAACAUUAACAGAUAUGCAACAAUUUCUUUUAUGAACUAAUCGUUAUAAUUUUUGGAUGAUGGAUAUUAUUAAUUAAUUAUACUAUCUAAUUUUUAAGUUAAAACUAAUUAAUUAUUAAUUUGUGAAAAUUUAGUCUGUAAUAUAUUAGCUAGGGUAUCCAAAACUAUAAUAUAAUAAUGAAAUUACCACUAUAAGUUAUGAAAUUGAAAGGAAUAUAACUAAGAUAAUAAUUUAUUGUAAUAUAAUAGAUUGGUUACGUUGUCUGGUUAAUUUAUAAAAAUAUAGUAUAGCUAGUGCAA
rnacentral:lncRNA from 1 species